rnacentral:RNase_P_RNA from 1 species
CCAGACGGCCGGACGGCCGCUGUCCAAGGGCUCGCCCCGCGGAUGGAGGAAAGUCCGGGCUCCACGGGAACACGGUGCCGGCCAACAGCCGGCGGGGGCGACCCCAGGGACAGUGCCACAGAAAACAAACCGCCCGCGCAAGAGGGCCCCCGGCGCACGCCGAGGGCCACUCCCGCGGGCAAGGGCGAAACGGUGCGGCAAGAGCGCACCGCGCCUCCGGCAACGGCGGCGGCAAGGUAAACCCCACCGGGAGCAAGACCGAAUAGGAGCGGCCGCCCUCGCAAGAGGGCAGGGGCGUUCCCGCCCCGCCGUUCGGGUUGGUCGCGUGAGGCGCGUCGCAAGACGCGUCCCAGAGGAAUGGUCGUCCCGCACCCAGGCGGUGCGGACAGAACCCGGCUUACAGGCCGUCUGGCAGC